rnacentral:rRNA from 1 species
GAUGAACGCUGGCGGCGUGCCUAAUACAUGCAAGUCGAGCGAACAGAUGAGGAGCUUGCUCCUCUGACGUUAGCGGCGGACGGGUGAGUAACACGUGGAUAACCUCCCUAUAAGACUGGGAUCACUUCGGGACACCGGAGCUAAUACCGGCUAAUAACUUAAAAAGCCUGGUUACAUAGUGAAAGACGGUUUUGCUGUUACUUAUAGAUGGAUCCGCGCCGCAUUAGCUAGUUGGUAAGGUAACGGCCUACCAAGGAAACGAUGCGUAGCCGACCCGAGAGGGUGGACGGCCACAACGGAACCGGGGCACGGGCCAGACUCCUAAGGGAAGCAACAGGUGGGAAUUUUCCGCAAAUGGCGGAAGCCUUACGGAGCCACUCCGCGUUAUGUAUAAAGGUCUUCCGAUCUGAAAACUCUGUUAUUAGGGAAGAACAAAUUUGUAAGUAACUAGGCGCGUCUUGACGGUACCUAAUCAGAAAGCCACGGCUAACUACGUG